GGUUGUGGCUCAGUGGUAGAGCGCUCUCCUAGCAUGCGUGAGGCCUGGGUUCUAUCCCCAGCACCA
rnacentral:tRNA from 1 species